GGUAUGGGAUGAACUUCCUCAGACAGAAUUAGGGCUUGGGCCUCUGUGUCCUGAUUUUUAAGUCAGGUGUCCCUCAGGUGUCCCUUCUUCUUCAGCAGGACUAGGCCUUUAUCUAAGAUGUACCCUGCUCAUGAAUAUGCAAAUCAUGUGAAUCUAUGGUGGUAAAUAUAGGGAUGUCUACAUCCCUCAAAAUCAUAAGAUCACUGUUGUCUGUACAGUCACUGAGUAUAGAGGACUUCGCCAUGGGGUGGAGCUGUAUCAUCCUCUUCCUGGUGGCAACAGCUACGGGUGUCCACUCACAGGUCCAGCUGCAACAGUUUGGGCCUGAGCUUGUAAAGCCUGGGGCCUCAGUGAAGAUUUCCUGCAAGGCUUCUGGCUACACAUUCACUGACUAUGUGAUGUCCUGGGUGAAGCAGAGUCAUGGAAAGAGCCUUGAGUGGAUUGGAAAUAUUGAUGCAUAUGGUGGUACUGGUUACAAUGAAAAAUUUAAGGGCAAGGCCACACUGACUGUAGACAAAUCCUCCAGCACUGCCUAUAUGGAGAUUAACAGAUUGGCAUCUGAAGACUCUGCAGUCUAUUACUGUGCAAGACACAGUGUUGAAACCACAUCCUGAACAUGUGAAAAAACCUGAAGGUGCAGGAAGCUUCAUGUGACUAAUAUGACUCAGAGAAGAUUAUCCUGAAGACUUGCUGAGAUGCAAUCAUUUUGAUAGUCCAUUUUUGUGUCUCUUUUUUAGAGACCACUGGUGCAGUUUAUUAACUUUGCAACAGGACAUCUCUGAAUUCUUUGAUGCUGAUUUAGUCUGCUCCUAAAGUACCCCACACUUUGUCAUUCUCUUCACCAGUGACAGCCUCCAUUGACAUUCUUCUUUAAUAAAACAAAAAAGGAUAACUG